GAGAAAACAACUGUCUGUGCAGAGAAAUAUGGCAGCAGAGAUACUGGAGACAUGUUAUCUGCUUUUGUUAACGACCCUCCGGAGUCAGUUCUACCUCAAGUGUCCUCCUGCCCUGCGACACUCGGGACGAUGGAAGGAGACAAGCUCAGUCAAGAUGCAGAGGAAAGCCUCGUGGUCUGAUCAAGGCAUGGAGGGGCUGGAGUUCCCGCCAUAGAGACGGGCAGUGGGCCUCCCGCAGGAGAGGCAGCGGCCGGGCUGCUCUAUGACGUCUCGCCAGCGCGCGGGAGCAGGCGGAGUUCUGGCGGGCUGGCUACGCGGCUCACGGGUGCAGCUCACGGCGCAGGCGCAGCGCCUCAGCGCCCAGGCCCGCCGCCAUCUUGGGUGGAGCACCGAGCGCCGCGCCUCUGCGCACGGCCCCAGGCUGAGGGGCCGGGGCCGCCAUUUUGAGGCGGGAACUCUGGUCUCAGUGGCCGGGUUCACGGCCUCUGCGUGCAGCCGCCUGUGAGCCAGUGACACCAGAGGAAGCACAAAGGGAUGACGAAAAAGAUUCACUCCUCUCGGAUCAGUCCUCCACACAGAUGCUCGGCCAUUCUAGAAGGGCAGUUGGACCAUGACCUUUCUUCCUGUUUGAAACACUUUGACUGCUCUCGGUGGUAGUGGAGCACAACCCAGCGUCCUCAACACAUCAUGCAAGACCUGGCCCCGUGCCCCACCUGAAAUCACUUGGAGCUGUUUCAUACCCUAUGACUGCAAACCCCGACCCCUUAGCCUGGUGUGCCCACCGCUUGGUCUGUCACGUUCCCGUGCAUCCUUCUAGGACCAGCACAGAUAAUUCCUGCUCUCUGAAACUUUCUCUAGUCCUUCGCUCCCCAAACAGGGACAGCCGGUUGCCUCCCCUAAUACCUGUCCUCUAUUAGAGCAUUUACCAUACCUUUUACAAUCUCUUGUGACAUGGCAGCCUCCCACGCUAGGUGAUGAGUUCAUUUCUGUGCCCCCAGAUCGAGACAGGCUCUGUCCUUGGUGGAUAAUAAAUACUUGGUGACGGAUCAGGUGCAUCUGUUGGCUUCGUCUGUCCCACAUCUACUCCUCAUCAUCCUGGUGCUAGAAUGAUGAAUUUUUCAGGAAACUAUCUCUCCCGUGGUCUCUGCCGCCUCUCCCUUGUCUUCCCAGCUCAUGAAAGCUGACUGUCAAAUUGUUAGCAACCUGCGAAGUUAUUGGAGAUUGUGCAGAUGAGCUUAUCAACAAAGCAGGUGUGGAUCCAUGGAACACCUGAAGAGAUCAAACUCAAAGCCGUGGUGAACUGCAGCUGUGACUCUCCGUGGUUACCCACUUGGCUCUCUGGGUACAGUGUUCAUGCGUUUCUGCUUGCCACCACCUGCCCCAGAGUUAAACUCGGAUGAUGCAACUGGCCAGUCCUCGGAGAUUCCUCUAGCCCAGAAUUUCUCCCCCUCAGAAUUCCUGAUGUUUUGAGCAGAUGAAUAUUCAUCAUGGCAGGCGCCAUGGGCAUUGAAGGACCUUCAGCUGCAUUCCUGCUCUCUCCCGGUCCACACAGUGAGAUAGCACACGUCUCUCCCUGAGCUGUCAAGACCAGAACAGCUCUAAGCACUGCCAAAUGUGCCCUGGGCAGGGGCAAAAUCACUGUCAGUUGAAAACCACUGUUCUAAUCCUUGCUGAAUAUUAGAAUUACCCUUGAUGCCAUCCCAAUGGAAUCAGAAUCUUUGGGCACGGACCCCAGGUGCCAGCAUUGGAAAAGCUACCCAGGGGUUUUAAACCAUAGCCCAGGUUGAGAAUUUCCAUCCUAAAGCAACUGGUCUAAUAUUGCUAUAGAGCUUCUUAAAGUCCUUCUCAGAUAUUUUUAUAACCGGGCCCUCCACUUAGCAACACAUGAGCAGCUACUACGCAGAAACAAUAUUAGCUAUAAUGUCAAGUACCAUCUCAUGGAAUUUGCAAUUUAAUGAGGUCAUGAGAGUGCGAGGGAAAUAAAUUGUUUUUCAUGUGUGAGUACGUAUGGAAAAAUACCUAGAAAAAAGACCUAAAAGAAAUGAGAAAUGAGUGCUGAUCUGUGGAAGGAGGGCAGGGGAGUUAAUAGACAGGUGGGACCUGGGGAGCUCAUCAGGGGUGAAGAGCCACACGACCUUUGAGAGGACAGGAGAGGGGUAGGGCAUUGUGAUUUUUUGAAGAGCCCAGUAUAUUUUUUAAUGAAGAGGAUUAUGAAUGCUACAGUAUAUGUUCAGCACUGAUCUUUUUUAAAUACCAGCUUUAUUAUAACACACACACCAUAAAAUUCACCAUUUCAAAGUGUACAAUCCAGUGAUUUUUAGUAUAUACACAGAAUUAUGCAAUCGACACCACUAUCAAAUUUCAAAAUAUCUUCAUCACCUUAAAAACAAACCCCAUACUCAUUAGUAGUCACCCUCCAUUUACUGCAACCACCCCAGCCCCUGGCAACCAGUAAUCUGCUUUCCG
ensembl:lncRNA